CGGAGACCGGAGCGAGCCCGCCCUUCUCCAGCCGCGCGGCCUUCCAUUCGCGCCCCCUAUCGGCAGGGCCAGCGGGGCCGCAGAAGCGUGGCUCGCAGGGCCCAGCCGCAUGCACCAAGCUGAGCGCGCGCUGGCCUGUGUGGAGCCCAGGCAAGAACGGAGUAAUUGGUACAGAGGAGGCUUUGCGUUUUCAGGAAUGCACUGUCCCCUUUCCAGGAGCUCUGCAAGUGAGCAGAAAUGCCAGAAAGUAGCCUGUGCAGAGGCAGGAGAAUGGGAGUCCGCCACAGACUGUCUCUUUCCCCCCCGGCCAGAGUCUCAUCCAGCCCUGGGGAAGGAAGACACCCGGUUGCAAUCACGCACCCCACCACCUGUCCAGAUCUUGGCUCGUGGCGUCACCCCUGAGGCUGGAACAGUCUCUGAAGAGGGACUGCACAGUUCCACGGGGAACUGUGGAGGAAAACACAGGCCUGGCCUGCCAGCAAGGGAGCAGAGGGGCAGGGGAGUCCCAGAAAACGCUCUGGUCAGUAGACGCUUGAAGAUAAAACUCCACCAUAGAAGGAGAGAGUCUGUGGCUCUGGAUACAUUCUAAAGAGAUCUGUGACCGAGAAAUUAUAAAGAAACGUGAAUUAAAAUGGAAGAAAGGGAC
rnacentral:lncRNA from 1 species